CACGAGAAAGAAGAAAAGAAGGAAAAAAAACAAACAGAAAUGGUAAAUGAUGUUUCGUUCCAAACAAAGGAGAAUAUCUCAUCAUGUGGUUUUCAAGAGUUUGAUAGAAAACAGCGCACACACACAACUCUCUCUCUCUCUCUCUCUCUCUUACAAUUGUUCAAUCAACGGGAAGAAGGAAUA
rnacentral:ribozyme from 11 species